rnacentral:rRNA from 1 species
UACGUAGGGAGCAAGCGUUGUCCGGAAUCAUUGGGCGUAAAGAGCUCGUAGGCGGUCUGUUGCGUCCGCUGUGAAAACUCGGGGCUUAACCCCGAGCCUGCAGUGGAUACGGGCAGACUAGAGGUAGGUAGGGGAGAAUGGAAUUCCCGGUGUAGCGGUGAAAUGCGCAGAUAUCGGGAGGAACACCGGUGGCGAAGGCGGUUCUCUGGGCCUGUACUGACGCUGAGGAGCGAAAGCGUGGGGAGCGAACAGG